UUCCGGUUGAUCCUGCCGGACCUGACUGCUAUCGGAUUGAUACUAAGCCAUGCGAGUCUUUGUAGUAAUACAAGGCAGACGGCUCAGUAACACGUAGUCAACCUACCCUAUGGACGAGAAUAAUCUCGGGAAACUGAGCAUAAUUCUUGAUAGAUCAUAAUGCCUGGAAUGGUUUAUGGUUAAAAUGAUUCGUCGCCAUAGGAUGGGACUGCGGCCUAUCAGCUUGUUGGUGAGGUAAUGGCCCACCAAGGCGAUUACAGGUACGGGCUCUGAGAGGAGAAGCCCGGAGAUGGGUACUGAGACACGGACCCAGGCCCUAUGGGGCGCAGCAGGCGAGAAAACUUUGCAAUGUGCGAAAGCACGACAAGGUUAAUCCGAGUGAUUUCUGCUAAAGAAAUCUUUUGUCAGUCGUAAAACCACUGGCGAAUAAGGGGUGGGCAAGUUCUGGUGCCAGCCGCCGCGGUAAAACCAGCACCUCAAGUGGUCAGGAUGAUUAUUGGGCCUAAAGCAUCCGUAGCCGGCUUUGUAAGUUUUCGGUUAAAUCCAUGUGCUCAACGCAUGGGCUGCCGAAAAUACUGCAUGGCUAGGGAGUGGGAGAGGUAGACGGUACUCAGUAGGAAGGGGUAAAAU
rnacentral:rRNA from 1 species